AACGAACGCUGGCGGCAUGCCUAACACAUGCAAGUCGAACGAGACCUUCGGGUCUAGUGGCGCACGGGUGCGUAACGCGUGGGAACCUGCCCUUAGGUUCGGAAUAACUCCCCGAAAGGGGUGCUAAUACCGGAUAAUGUCUUCGGACCAAAGAUUUAUCGCCUUUGGAUGGGCCCGCGUUGGAUUAGCUAGUUGGUAGGGUAAAAGCCUACCAAGGCGACGAUCCAUAGCUGGUCUGAGAGGAUGAUCAGCCACACUGGGACUGAGACACGGCCCAGACUCCUACGGGAGGCAGGAGUGGGGAAUAAUGGGAAAUGGGGGAAAGGCUGAUCCCGGAAUGCCGCGGGAGUGGUGAAGGGCUUAGGGUUGGAAAGGUCCUUUAACCGGGGUGAUAAUGACAGUACCGGGAGAAUAAGCUCCGGCUAACUCCGUG
rnacentral:rRNA from 1 species